AAUUUGAUCGCAUCACUUAACAUAUGAAUGGGCCCCACCAAUGUCCCGGGCGCGUGGGUGGUCUUGUACCGAGACAGCGACUUAGGGCAACAACUCGUUUGUCUCACGCGCUUGUCGGUCGCAUGAGUGGACUGGGACGGUAGUUCUCAGUGCUGUAUGUAUGUACCUGGUUUCUCAGUUCACGAAGAUAUACAGUAGAGCCUUGGUCCAGAGUUAAUGCCCAUCAUAGGGCAGGUGUGGAUACGUGUCCAGCUUCUGACCGUCGAUUGCAUGCAUCAUGGGACAAGUGAUGGACUUUUUCAAACAAAAAUGGUACCUUUUUCUCUUUAGUUUUUUCAUAAUCAUUCAUUACUAGUACUUAAAUAUUAUAAAAUAAUUGAUUUUUAAAGCUUAAUAAUUGGAUUUUAGUUGGUAUUGAGUAUUGGAUUUUCGUUGGUUGGGUACCAUCUUUUUACCUCCGUGUGUCCAAUGACAUUCUUUCUGGUACAAUCUUGAACGUUGUGGUUAUCUUCCUUUUUACUUUUUAUUUUUUAUUUUCGGGUGCAAUGCAAUGGUUUAUCUUCUUGAGAUUUGUAUAGGCUUUGGGUGUGUUGGAAGCCGUUUAAGUUAUUUUAACUCUUGGUCUGCUCGAGGGAUUCACUUUUUUCUUGUUUUUUUCACUACUCUUGGCUUUUUAAGGCUCUUGAAUUGCCUGCUUUGUUGUCUCUCUUUCUCUCUCUCUCUCUCUCUCUCUCUCUCUUGCGCAGCUUCCUCCUUGAAAGUGAUAUUUCUUUCCUUUGCAUGUUACUAUUUUUUUUUUUUUCAUUUCUGGGUUGGUGUGGGAUUAUCUUCUGUCUACCUUGUAGGGUUUGGAUAUGGCAACUGAUGCCUCAGAUGUUUCUAGUUGCUUGACUUCUUCGAGUUUUCUUCUUGUUAAGUUUGAGUUUGUUUGUCUUUUCUUGCAUUUUCUUCUUCUUCUUCUUCUUCUUCUUGUUUUUUGAGCUUUGGGUUUCUUUAAAAGCAGAACUCUUCAUCAUGCACCAUUUAGUUGAAAAAGUUAGAAAAAACAGAAGAGAAAUUCAAAUUAUACUUCUUUUGUUAUGUUUUCUAACGAUUGAGAUUCAGUUUAGAUGUGACAGGAACCCUUAUAUGGAAGAUUCCUCCUUUUCUUUACAUCAGAUUCAAUCUGUAACAUUUAAGGUUGAAGGUUUGUGGUUUGACUAUUUUCUUAGACUCUUUGUGAAACAAUCUAUGAUUUGAAGUCUAAGUUUGACUUGCAAAGCAGUUUGAGUAAGUAAGAUAACAUAAAAUUUUGUGGAACUUUUUAUUCUUGGGUAUUAGAUUUGAUGGAACUUCCUUUGCUUUCGAGAUGGACAAGAUCCUUGAUCACUCACUUAUAUAUAAUUACUCUAUGAUUUUUCAACAUUUUAUUGACUGUUAAAUUCCUCUUGAAGCUUUUCUACUUCUAGAGUAUAAUAUAUAUAUCUUCUUUUUUUUUUAGAGAUCUAAAGUAGAAGUUUUUAAGUAUAGUAUUGGAGGUUAAAUAUAAAAGAUGUCUUGGGGUUCUAGAAAAUUUUCUUAUCAUGAACUCAAGUUAAGGUUUCUGAUAGUAUUUUGCAUGUGAUACUGUGUGCGCUCAAUUUUAUGUUGUAUGUUUUGUUUUCUAGAAGAUCAUUAUUGAUCUGUAAUUUCUAAUUGUAGAGUAGGUCUUAGUUCUCCUUAGUUCAAGGAUAUAUUAGGCUUCGAUCUCUGUGGGUGACACUGCUGUUGUCUUGUGGCUUUAUCUUUGUGUUCCCUUUUCUUUACUUUUAUUUUCACCCAAAUUUAUUUGCGUAUUACAUGAUUCAUGUGUAGAAAUCCCAUGUCAGAUUUCAUGACAAUUGCUGGGGUUGUUAAAACAGAUUGCUUUAAUUUUUCAGUUACUGAUGUAUGAGCCGAGCUAUGAUUGACGUUGUUUGACGACGAGAGAGAGCACGCUUGUCGGCACCCAUGAAAGGGCCAUGGAUGUUUACGGGCGUGCUCUCUCUUGUUGUCAUACAGUCUAUCUGCUGGUUCGGAUCUUUGGAAUUUGAUCAACCUGCAGGGAUGACAAUGGACUGGCGGUGGAGUAAGGAAUUGGGUUUUGGUAGCGUUGUAAUGUGCGGGGUUGGUGGUGGCAUAUGUAGUGGACCCUGCAAGAUGAAGUGGUACGUCCUCUUCGAUGAUUUGAACCCACAAGUGCCUCUUACCAAAAAAAACUACAGUGUUUGAAUGGUCACUGGGAGUUGGAUGGGCUGAAGACCGAGGAACGUUCCCUUGAUAUGCUUCAACCAGCUUCUAAAGGUUGUGGAUUUAACUUUUUAAAAAAUUUAUCCUCACUCUAUUUAUAAGGUUGUUAGAGAGUCAUGUUGCAUCUCCCUGCCAACUGUUUGAUCCAUUUCUGUAGGCAUACAUAUUCAGGCUCUGAAACUGCGGUAUAUGACCUUUGGCUUAUUAUUCAAUCAGUUUACUCUCGAAGCCUGGACAGUGACAAAACCAGGUGGUUUGAGAAUUGGGGUGUCAAACGUCCUUUUAAUUAUACUUUUUUUGUGGGUUCUAAUGAUCAGUUGAUGGAUGCCAUUUUUGUGUUCGUGAAUGAAAGAAAGUGGCUUAUAUGUAGAUUGAAAACUUGAGUACUUCUUGUUAUGAGAUGCUCUCUUCUGUGCC